AAAACAUGUAAGAUGGGAAAAUUUUGUAAUUUACUAAUAAACUGCUUACAAUGUGUAUAAUAUGUCUGACUGCGUGUGUAGCAUUGUGUACACAUAGUAGUGUGUGUAUACUGUCUGAAUGUGUGUAUAGUAGUGUGCGUAUAGGAAGGUGUCAUUGUCUAAGUUUGUGUAUAACAGUGUGCAUACUGUGUUUGAAUGUGUGUGUCAGUGUGUGUAUAUUGUGAGUUUGUGUGGCAGUGCAUUUCACUGUGUGUCUAGUGCAGGCAUAGGCAACCAUUGGAACUCCCUCUCCUAUUGGCCUAGGGCAGGCAUAGGCAACCUUCGACACUCCAGAUGUUUU